GAACGCUGGCGGCGUGCCUAACACAUGCAAGUCGAACGGAGAUAUGAUUUCGGUUAUAUCUUAGUGGCGAACGGGUGAGUAACGCGUGAGCAACCUGACCUUCAGAGGGGGAUAACACUUGGAAACAGGUGCUAAUACCGCAUAAGACCACGACCCGACAUCGGGAUGCGGUCAAAGGAGCAAUCCGCUGAGGGAGGGGCUCGCGUCCCAUUAGAUAGAUGGCGGGUAAGGCCCACCAUGUCGACGAUGGGUAGCCGAGCUGAGAGGCUGAUCGGCCACACUGGAACUGAGACACGGUCCAGACUCCUACGGGAGGCAGCAGUGGGGAAUAUUGGGCAAUGGGCGCAAGCCUGACCCAGCAACGCCGCGUGAGGGAAGAAGGCCUUCGGGUUGUAAACCUCUGUCCUUGGUGACGAAACAAAUGACGGUAGCCAAGGAGGAAGCCCCGGCUAACUACGUG
rnacentral:rRNA from 1 species